rnacentral:lncRNA from 1 species
UUCAAGUUAUACAUAGGACUAAAAGAGCACAUGGCUUACCUAGGAGGUAAAGAUGAGAACAGCUUCUGCUUGCUGGGCACCGCCUUGAAAAGAAAUACUUUUGAUCGGCUUGGUGAGUAUUGACCUUCGGAUUACAUCAUUCGUGACUUUUUUUUUUUUUAAAUGUUAAACCUCUAUUGGAAAAAUACAUAUGUUGCUUUUAAAAUGGAAGCUUUCGACAGCAUUUAGAACCAUCCAUAUGUUAUCGGUUUAGGCCAAAUGAACCAGCCAAUUUGAGAUCUGAGUGUUGGAAAGCUUAGGUGUAUAGUCACUCGAAAUGUCUGUCGCAUCACAGCUUGUAGAAGUUAUUUCCAAACGUCCCUUCACUUACAUGAUGCUUCUCCGAGAAGAGGUCCUGUUCUCCUAACUGGGGCCAGCCAUCCUUUCCUGAUGCUCCUGUGUGUUAUGCCUGCCUCAGAAGCAUCAUGUUCCCUCUGUACUGACUGCAUCUUUUUUUAAAAAAAAAAGUUAAAAAAAGAUUUAUAUUGGAGUAUAGUCGGCCUGCCGUGUUGUGUUAGUUUCAGGUGGACAGCAAAGUGAUUCGGUUAUACACACACAAAUAUCCAUGCUUUUUCAGAUUCGUUUCCCAUAUAGGUUAUGACUGGAUAUUGAGUCAUGUUUGCUGUGCUAUGCAGUAGGUCCCCGCUGAUUAUCUCUUGUAUAUAUGGUCGUGUGCGUAUGUGAAUCCCAAACACCGAAUUUAUCCCUCCCCAACCCCCAACUGCAUCCUUUUUGGCGUCCUUCGGUUCCCAAGUACCUGGGCCCCCUCCUGGAGGGCACAGGACCUGCGGGUUCAGGGCCACGUGGAGGACCCCACCCGGCAGCUCUGAUGUCCUGUCUUGGAGAGUUGCACUGAGCGGGUCACUUCCAACCUGCCAUCAGGGUAGAGAAGGCUUGCUGGGAUGGGUGAUGGACUGGUUUCUCUGGGAAGAAACGCCAAAAAUGAUAUGGAUGGUACAGAGCUCUACUUGGGCUCUGUGCUUGAAGUCCAAGAAGAACAGGAGAAGUUUUCUCAUGCUCUUUCUGGAGUCCUCGUCAUUUCCUGGGAACCUCCAUAUGCCAAGGGAGCGGCCCUAGGAAAGGCAAACAAAGACAAAAAAAAAAAGUUGUCUAUGACAGCUUUAUUCUCACCGAGAAUAAAGGCACGCAGCCUUCCCAUCGGAGUGCCCUCUUGAGAGGCUGCAUGCAUGUCUGCGCGAUUGUUUUCAUAAACUCAGAAUUUAGCUGCCAGCACUCAGGGCUCCCAUCGUGUGUAACCCGGUCUCUGCCCAGGAUCCGCCACGUUGUUCUCUCUCCCACUUGUCAAUAAAAGCCAAAGAUUUCUCUCACAGAAGCUCCGCAGUAAUUCCUGGGUCUGCAAGUCAUGUGCCCAAGGAAACUUUUUAAGUGGGGAAAAGGGUAGAAAUCCAGUUCAAACUCUUACGAGUUUUGGCGGAGGAGUCUAUGGACGAACAAAAGCUCCCUGGCAUCUUCUGGCAGACAUGUGAGAGAAGGCAGUGAUUGGAAUUAAUUUUUAGUGAGGGCUGCAUAUUUGAUAAUUGGUCUGAUUCACGCUAUUAUAUUCCUCUUCCUUCACCCACAGCAAAACAAGCUUAAUUUGAUUCAUCCCCUUAGGAAGAAAAAAAAAAAAAAA